GAUGAACGCUGGCGGCGUGCCUAAUACAUGCAAGUCGAGCGAACAGACGAGGAGCUUGCUCCUCUGACGUUAGCGGCGGACGGGUGAGUAACACGUGGAUAACCUACCUAUAAGACUGAGAUAACUUCGGGAAACCGGAGCUAAUACCGGAUAAUAUAUUGAACCGCAUGGUUCAAUAGUGAAAGACGGUUUUGCUGUCACUUAUAGAUGGAUCCGCGCCGCAUUAGCUAGUUGGUAAGGUAACGGCUUACCAAGGCAACGAUGCGUAGCCGACCUGAGAGGGUGAACGGCCACACUGGAACUGAGACACGGUCCAGACUCCUACGGGAGGCAGCAGUAGGGAAUCUUCCGCAAUGGGCGAAAGCCUGACGGAGCAACGCCGCGUGAGUGAUGAAGGUCUUCGGAUCGUAAAACUCUGUUAUUAGGGAAGAACAAAUGUGUAAGUAACUAUGCACGUCUUGACGGUACCUAAUCAGAAAGCCACGGCUAACUACGUG
rnacentral:rRNA from 1 species